rnacentral:ncRNA from 2 species
AGUGCAGCUCUCGCGACAGGUUCCUCGAAAGAGGAUGAAAAGGGAACUCGGGUGUGAAACCCGGGCUGCCCCCGCAACUGUAAGCGGCGAGCCCGCGCGUCAUAAACCACUGGGAGCCUCCUUCGGGAGGCCUCUGGGAAGGCGACGCGCACCGGCAUUGACCCGCGAGCCAGGAGACCUGCCCGUCGCGGUCGUCCUUC